CUACGGGAGGCAGCAGUAAGGAAUUUUAGACAAUGGGCGAAAGCCUGAUCUAGCAACGCCGCGUGGACGAUGAAGGCCUUCGGGUCGUAAAGCCCUGUCAGGUGGGAAGAAACGUGCCGAUGUGAAUAACAUCGGCAUUUGACGGUACCACCGGAGGAAGCACCGGCUAACUCCGUGCCAGCAGCCGCGGUAAUACGGAGGGUGCAAGCGUUGUUCGGAAUUAUUGGGCGUAAAGCGCGUGUAGGCGGUUGGGCAAGUCAGAUGUGAAAGCCUUCCGCUCAACGGAAGAAGUGCAUUUGAAACUACCCGGCUUGAGUUCGGGAGAGGAGAGUGGAAUUCCCGGUGUAGAGGUGAAAUGCGUAG
rnacentral:rRNA from 1 species